GCCUCCGUAGCUCAGGGGAUAGAGCAUUGGUUUCCGGUACCAAAGGUCGCACGUUCGAUUCGUGUCGGGGGCA
rnacentral:tRNA from 2 species